GUCUGUGGUAAUGAAUUAAAUAUCGAGACAAAUCGAAUCUUUUCUCAUCCUGUCAUUGGAAUACUACAAUGUGAGUGUGUGGGUUAAUCAGGAUCAACGAUGUGGAUGAGGCAGAUAUCCGAUUUGUGCUAACAUUUAGUGGCUCGUUUCUAUUUUACGGAUAUGCUGGAACGAUUUGAACAAUACACAAAGCAGAUUUGAUGAAAACAGUAGGAGCUAUUGUUACAUAUGCGGCAAG